rnacentral:rRNA from 1 species
AUGGUCCCGUGCUACUGCAAGAACAAGGACAACGAUGUUGGGUCGGCCAUCGAGUACGCCGUCUGCGCCCUCAAGGUCGAGGUCAUCGUGGUGAUCGGCCACAGCCGCUGCAGCGGGAUCAAGGCCCUCCUCAACCUCAAGGAUGGUGCCGACGACACCUUCCACUUCGUCGAGGACUGGGUCAGGAUCGGCUUCCCGGCGAGGAAGAAGGUCAAGGCCAAGUGCUCCCAGAUGCCUUUCGAGGACCAGUGCGGCGUCUUGGAAAAGACUGCUUUGAGUGGCAUUUCCUAUUUGGCGCUUGUGGAGCCCGUUUUAUGGUGCUCCUAA